AUGUUUCUGUUCAACACCUCUCACUCUCUCAAUCGAUAUACUUCCUCUGUUCACAAGAUACUUCCUCCGAAAACUCUCUUAAACGCCAAUCAUCCUCCAUGCUCAUCCCCUUCCCCUCGAUUUCAAACGCCAACCACCAUUUUCUCAAGCUUCUCCGAUCAGGCUUUUGCCAUGAUUCAUGACUUCAUGUUCUCAGUAGCUUUGAUUCUUAAGCUUAGCUCAAUUCUCUGCCGCAUUUCAGUUUCAGUUACGAGUUCAUUUUUGCAAUUCAAAUAG